rnacentral:sRNA from 1 species
GCUGGACAUGGUAGUGUGUGCCUGUGGUCCCAGCUCCUUGGGAAGUUGGAAUAGAAGGAUCACUUGAGUCUAGAAGUUGGAGACCAGUCUGGUCAACACAGUGAGACUCUGAUUCCA